rnacentral:rRNA from 1 species
AUGUUCAUCACACAUUUCAUCUCAGAGUUAGAGCAAGAGAAGAACAAAGUUCAGAACCAGGUGAUCCGACAAAAGACUGCAGGACCGAGAAGGUGGAUUCCGGCAUCGCGGGGCUGCGCCAAGAUCAAUGUGGACGCCGCGGUUUCUCGAGGAGUUGGAGCAGCCGCGGCUGUGUGUAGGAACAACAAUGGAGACUAUCUUGGAUCUUCGGCGUUCGUCGUUCGAGGUUUGAUAGAUCCGCCUACUCUAGAGGCUAUUGCAUGCAGAGAAGGUUUAUCUCUGGCUGAAGAUUUGGGGUUACAGAAUAUAGUGAUUGCGUCGGACUGUCAAGAAGUAGUGAAGCACAUCAAGGAAAAAUCAGGUGGAAACUAUGGUGGAGUGCUCAUAGGCACAACAACACGGGCUUUAGAAGAAGAGGUACAUCUGUUCAAUGGAAUAGAGUCAACCCAUGAUUUGAGUCUGCUCGAAGCUGAAACGUGUAGAAACACAACGCAACACACCAGGCGCGGCAGCCUGUGGUGGCUCAAGAAGUGGGAACGGGGGCGUGCGGCGGCUGGGAGAGACGGGGUCCGCGAGGUGCUGCGAGCAGCUCACCCCGACGGGUCGCGGCAGCGGAUGGACCGGCUGGUCGCUUUGACGGGCGCAGACGGCGGCUCGCGCGGUUGGGGAGAUGCGGGGCUGGGUUAG